GGUGGACACAGCUGAACUUCUGACACAAAAACUAGUCUGACCACUAGGAUUUGUUACUGGCAUCUGGGGGAAAAUAAAACAGUCCGGUGACUUUGCUCCCUGUUCCUUGCCAGCCAUUUUCACCAUCUAAUUUUAUAUCCCCGCUUUCCCUUACUACUCAUCCACACUACGCUACCUUACAAGACUCAGCAGCUUGGUGUGCGGCCAUGUAGCAUGCAGAAAUAUAAACGGUGAUAAGUCUGUGAAGAGAACCAGCUCCAAUUCUCUUACCACACCGACAUGUGCUGGUUGGCCUACCACAAGCUGCACGCUGGGUGAGAAGCUUUGUUGUGUGGAAGAGCCCCUUUCUUACACCAGUCAGAUACAGUCACUAAACGUAAUUUGGCAUGUGAUGGUCUUUAAAGGUUGCAGCCAGUGUAAAGUUUCACACAGGAAAGACUGGGGCUCUUUCUUGUCUCCUCCUGCCUCUGCUCCUUCUCAAGCUCCGCCUAACGACAUGGAGGUGCUGGGGCAGGCCCAAAGGAGGACAACGGGGCUUGUGAAGGGCUUGGAGAAUAUGCCCUACAAGGACAGACUGAGGGAACUGGGACUGUUUAUUCUGCAGAAAAGGAGUCUGAGGGGAGACCUUAUUGCUCUCUUCCAGUAUCUGAAAGGUGCUUACAGCAAGAGUGGGGCUGGUCUCUUCUCACUGGUGACAGGACGGGGGGAAAUGGCCUCAAGCUGCAUCAGGUGGGGAGGACAGGGACAAGAGGCAGCAGGCCCAAAAAAUGCUCCUGCAGAUCAUCAGCCAGAGGGGCUCCUGUGCCUACGGACAUCAACGCCUGUCAUUGCAGGAGGAAGCCCACUAGGACACACAUCUGCAGCUCUUCUGCCACCUCUGGAGGCAAUGCUGGUAGCAUCUCAUGACUUUCCGUAG
rnacentral:lncRNA from 1 species